UUAAGCAUGGCCAAGGCCUGUGCUGUAAAACUCCCUGGAGACCACCUAGAUCUUGUAAUCAUUUAAACAGAAUAUCCACUUCCUCUUAAAGUAAGGUGUGAUGCUUCAGAUCUCUUUUUCUGGAGUAAAUCUUAGUGAGAGUCUUACUGAAUCUGUGUCACCAGCCCCUACCUGGAUGUCAAGAAUUGAUUGUACAAGUACCUCAAAAGAAGACAAUAAUUCCUAAUGUAGUGUGGUGUUAACCCAUGCUGACAAGGAAGAAGAAUGGGCCUGAAUACCUGUGAUUCUCACACUUCAAAAAAUGAAACACUAGAAUGAAAACAAUAAAGUGAAGAAUGAAGAGGACGAUCAAAGAGCUAAGAACCAUAUUGCUACCUACACAUUUCGUAUUACGGAUAAUCCUGCCACAAAUCUUCUCUUGAUCCUCGCAGUUAUCUGCUGCAAGCUCUGUGGAAGUAAUUUUCAUUUCCAGAAUUUCAAGGUUAUAUACAGCAACACAGCAGCAGGAAUGUUAAUAGCAGUGUCUUUCCUGGACCCAUCAGGUACAGGGAGUUUACUGUGAACCUCUGUGAGAACUUUCAAACACCACCUCAACCAUUCAAGGCUGGUAAGAGCAAGGGAGACAUUCAUAACUCCAGAGUGGAUAUGAAGGGCUUCAGAAAGGCAUAAAUCAAUGAGAAAGCAAAUUACUGGAAGACAACAAGGAAACCCUGAGAUAAUAUGCAUUAGCCUGAAUAGUCCUGACAGAAACUGUGAAGAUCAUACCAGUGUAACUAUCAUAGUUUCCUUCCCAAAUCUCUGACUGAUGGAAGAAUAUGGACAGCUGCACAAGUGUGCAUGUGCCCAUUGAAGCUCUUGGAAGUUCUUGCACAUAAAUUUCUUAAACCAAUGACUGUAUGACAGAUUUUAUUGUGCUGCUAAUGCAAUAUUUGCAGCCUCCAUGACUCAUACCAUCGUUCACUGAGAUCUUUGAAGCUUCUGCAUUGAAGUAAAGAGAUCUUAUCAGUGUGACACUGGGCCUGGUGUUGAUAAAGUGGGUACUGAUGAGAAUGAAAUAACCACAGCAAAGGAUGAGUCUGACAACAAAAAAUAUAACUCUACCUCUAUCAAAUUGAUAUUAAGUGGAAUGAAAUGAACUCUCCCUUGCCUAGAAAAAGCUGGCAACAGAGCCUUAAUUAGGAAAGUUAAAACACUGCUAGAGGUCAGAGGAUGAACAUGACACAGUAAACCCAUAGCCAGGGAGAAGAGAACAAAAGAAAUGGGACUUGUUGCUUAUAAUAUAUGACAAGGUAAUGCAUUCAAGAACUUAAUAAACUACAAUCAUUGUCAUCUACAUCUGCAAAACCCUUUGAAACAUGUAAAAUAAGUUAUAGCUACAGAAUACACUUCAGGAGAGCUAGUUAGGACAGCUCUAAAGGAAAACAGGACUGUUUAUGAAAUCUACUUUGACCACUGCAUUAAAUAAAAUACUAAGGUAGAAAAAGGAAGUAAAGUCCUUUUUUCUUGAGAAUUCAAAAGCAUAUUUGAAAGUAGAAAUCAAAAGAAAACUAAAAAUAUCAAAUUGAUGAUGGUUUUUGUUGUUCAAUGAAAUUGAAUGCUUCAUGAAAGUUAAUCCAUGAUUUUUCAUAUGAGGAGCUUAGCAUGAAAUGUCAGAGAGAUGUAAUUUCUAUACGUCUUCACACAUGUAUCUGUGCUUGAAUAAAAUACCCUAGUGCACAAUACAGACAUCAUCUUCUGUAAGAUCACCAGUCCAUGACAUCAAUUAUGCAAUGAGGUUUCCCCUUGAACUUCUUUCCUCUAUUAUAUUUUCAUUACUACAUUCAGUGUAGGAGUUAGGCUGGACAAUUUUCUUUCUGCCAUGAUGGAUGAUUAUGACAUGUUAUGAAUAAGAGGUGAUUAAAUACAAACUAUGUGUUGUCCAUCAAUGCAGUUAUUAUGGAAGCUUUGAUAUUAAUAUAUUUUUAAUUUCUCAGUUCACGGAUGAAAGGAUCAGCCUACAUUAAUAGUGCUACAUAAAAGGAUAAUUUAGUAAGAUACCUGGUGCCCUAAUCCUGAUUCAGACAAACUUCCCAUUAAAAUAUGUGGAAAUGGCAGUGUGACUAAACCCUUUAAUUUGGUCUUAGACUCAGGGACAAUCUUGUCCUAUUCAACACAAUAAGAAGUUUAAUUCAGAAUAUUUAUUCAUAUUAAAUUUUAAUCUUCUGUUAAAAGAAUAUGUUGAAAAUAUGGUGUACAGAUAAUUUUCUUCUUGUUAAAAGAAGAAUAAUUUAUUUGAUUCUCCACAUUUUUGUCACAUUCUUUAACAAUAAAAAGUGGGUGAAGAAAGCACCCUAACCAACUGCAAACAAAAACUUGACUUGCCUCUGUGUCUACUUGCCAGAUUAGGCAGUGAAAUCUAUUGAAAAUCAUCAUUCAUAAAAAUUCUCAGAGACUGACUUAAAAUAUUUGUUGGUUAGGGUUUUUUUGUGUGUCAAAUGAUAAAAUCUUUUCCAUCUUUUUUCUCUUGUUUAGAAAUAUCAAGGAGUCAGCUACACAUUCCUGCUUUUUCCCCAUUACCAUUCUUCUUCUUUUUUUCCUUUUUGAAUAACCACAGAGAAUUGUGCUGAACAGGAUAUGGGACAAAAGUUUAGUAAUACAAAUAAACGACAGAAAAAAAUUUAUUAAUAUUUUAUUUUCAAAGUUGAUAUUUUAUGGUUUCUGUUUUUGGCUUUAUUUUGUGCACUUAAUACACUUUGACUACAGAAAUUUCAGAAAGUGCUAAAAUGCUGAGAAGAGGCAGGAUUUAUGGAAAAUAUAUAGUAAAACAAAUAUGAUGUGGUCAGAACAUAGACUUUCUGUCCCUGGUAGACAAUUCAGUUCAGAGCCAAGACUUUAAAAGAAAGAGGUUUUCUAGUAAGAUGAGAAAAGGAAGAGAAAGGACAUGUGAAGGAUAUCUUCAGCUUCACUGAGCUAUGGGAGGGGAAGGAAUAGUACAAGGAUGAUAGAAAAAAAUCCUUUUAAGUAAAUGAAUGUAUGGCAAGAGCUAAGUUUAUUCUGUGGACAAAAUUUAGUGACAAUGUUUUUCACACAAGGUUUCAGACAGCCUAUGGCACCUCAGUGAGCCUGAAGGAGCCUGCAGGGGAGCAGCAGAGCAACCCUGCUGAUCUUCCUUCUUAUCAACUAGCUCUGGUCAGAGUCUUACAAUUCAUGCAAAUAACAGAUGCUGCUCCUUUGUUUUACAUCUUAGAUUUAAGGUGGACACAAAAGUAAAAAUGUUUAACAUCAGAUGGAGCUGAACCCAGAGAUAAAGAAAUGGCUGGUUUAUACAUUGACAUGGAAUUUUUUUAAUAUAUUAUUGAAGAAAAUGCUAGAGAGAGAAAGCACUCUGUUAUUAGGCUAAAGUGAACAGGUUUUUGUUUGCCUAGGAAUGGAUUAUGUUUUCCAUGAUGCUCCUUGUCAAUUGCAAGUUUAUUCCUUUGUAUAAUGCCUGUCUCUACUUUUUGCUUAAUAUGAUUAAUUUCACAUUAAAAAA